rnacentral:tRNA from 1 species
CAGUUGGUAGCUCAGUGGUUAAAGUGCUCGACUGGAUAUCGAGAGGUCCCAGGUUCGAUUCCUGGGCCGGCUCU